CUUACUCUAAGAUCAAUUAUGAAUAAUAAGAACUCAUGAACCUUAAGAAAUCUAAUUGGCAUUUCUGACGCGAAAUUUUCAAUUGGCAGGUCCGAGACCACAGUCAAUUCGUAGUGCAUUUUCCUUAGACAAUACAUGAAAAUUAAAAAAAUUCCACCUGCGCUUUCUAAAUAAUAUUGUUUACAGUAUGUUGUACUACUUUUGGGACAAAUUAUAUCAAAAUUAUAGAAAACUUCAUCAGCUCUAAUUCAAAAUAUGGACAAUUUUAUGUUAAGGGGGUCUUGAAAUCUUUUGACAGCUUCAGAAAUGCUAUUUUUUAACGUUUUUCAGCUGGACCAAAUCACUACUUGACUUUCAAAUUCAUGACCCAAAUUUAUUUACAGUGUAAUU
rnacentral:lncRNA from 1 species